AUCCAGCUGACGAGUCCCAAGUAGGACGAAACGCACGUCUUGGAU
rnacentral:hammerhead_ribozyme from 1 species